rnacentral:rRNA from 1 species
GAAAAGCCCCCCGGCUUCAACCGGGGAGGGUCAUUGGAAACUGGGGAACUUGAGUGCAGAAGAGGAGAGUGGAAUUCCACGUGUAGCGGUGAAAUGCGUAGAGAUGUGGAGGAACACCAGUGGCGAAGGCGACUCUCUGGUCUGUAACUGACGCUGAGGAGCGAAAGCGUGGGGAGCGAACAGGAUUAGAUACCCUGGUAGUCCACGCCGUAAACGAUGAGUGCUAAGUGUUAGGGGGUUUCCGCCCCUUAGUGCUGCAGCUAACGCAUUAAGCACUCCGCCUGGGGAGUACGGUCGCAAGACUGAAACUCAAAGGAAUUGACGGGGGCCCGCACAAGCGGUGGAGCAUGUGGUUUAAUUCGAAGCAACGCGAAGAACCUUACCAGGUCUUGACAUCCUCUGACACUCCUAGAGAUAGGACGUCCCCUUCGGGGACAGAGUGACAGGUGGUGCAUGGUUGUCGUCAGCUCGUGUCGUGAGAUGUUGGGUUAAGUCCCGCAACGAGCGCAACCCUUGAUCUUAGUUGCCAGCAUUCAGUUGGGCACUCUAAGGUGACUGCCGGUGACAAACCGG